rnacentral:rRNA from 1 species
GCUAACGAGGGGCCGGGAGGGGCGGGAAGACGGGGGGGGGAAGAGAGACGCUGAAUCACGAGGCGGAAAGCGCAGGUAGGCGGGUCGGUAAGGCUUUUGUGAAAGCUCCCGGCGUAACUGGGAGAGGUCAAGGGAAACUACCGGGCUAGAGUGUGGUAGGGGAUACUGGAAUGCCUGGGGUAGCGGUGAAAUGCGUAGAUAUCAGGAGGAAUACCUAUGGCGAAAGCAGGUAUCUGGGCCAUCACUGACGCGGAGCUGCGAAAGCUAGGGGAGCAAACAGGAUUAGAUACCCGGGUAGUC